rnacentral:rRNA from 1 species
GACGAACGCUGGCGGCGUGCUUAACACAUGCAAGUCGAACGGAAAGGCCCUGCUUUUGUGGGGUGCUCGAGUGGCGAACGGGUGAGUAACACGUGAGUAACCUGCCCUUGACUUUGGGAUAACUUCAGGAAACUGGGGCUAAUACCGGAUAGGAGCUCCUGCUGCAUGGUGGGGGUUGGAAAGUUUCGGCGGUUGGGGAUGGACUCGCGGCUUAUCAGCUUGUUGGUGGGGUAGUGGCUUACCAAGGCUUUGACGGGUAGCCGGCCUGAGAGGGUGACCGGCGACAUUGGGACUGAGAUACGGACCAGACUCCUACGGGAGGCAGCAGUGGGGAAUAUUGCACAAUGGGCGGAAGCCUGAUGCAGCAACGCCGCGUGCGGGAUGACGGCCUUCGGGUUGUAAACCGCUUUCGCCUGUGACGAAGCGUGAGUGACGGUAAUGGGUAAAGAAGCACCGGCUAACUACGUG